rnacentral:lncRNA from 1 species
GCACUGAUGCUGUGACGCAGGAAGACAAAGUUCACGCUCUGACUGCACGCGCCCUGUUCACCUGAACUAAGCAAAUAGUGACAGAGCGUAAAGUCACAUAAUGGUCACGGCAACAGAGGAAAGUAAGGCCGACACAGACAGCAGCGUGGGAGGGGACGUUCUCAGAGGAAGGGACACCUGUUCAAGGACCUGCAUGAAAUGAAGAGAGCUGGUGGUCUCAGCAGUGGUCCUCGACGGGAGGUCCAUGAAAUGUUGGCUUCCAGGGAGGGAUAAGAAGCCCAGAGUCCUGUGAAGUUCCACUUUUUAGCCCAUGGAGUUUGGUUCCAGGGAGGUUGUACGCCAACUUCAGGACCGGAGAAUGACAGUGGUAGGACCAUCCCUGAGCUAGCGGCCUCCUCCCCAACAUGGCGCCCGGAAGGAACCUGAGGUGAGGGCCUUCCCUGACAUUCUGCUCGCGGAUCUGCCAACGGCGCUAAUUCUUACCGUCGAGCGGGGAUAUUUAAGGAAACCAAAGAUCGUCUCCUGUCAUCACGAUCCUUCAUUCACUUCCCUAAGUUGCACGUCUACAGACGUGGUCUACAGAACCGUGUGGGCCGCUCACUGGAGUUGUCUGAGGACCCCGACUUCAUAGAAUGACCUUCGCCAUGUUCCAGAUGUCGAGGCUCGCCCAGAAGAGGCAAUUUUAUCUGUUCGACAUGAACGCGUCUGGAUGGAGGGCAAUUGCGACAGCGAAAAAUGGAUGGAGGUUUAUGGGUUCUCUGCACGGUCGGGAAAUCAUGCCGUCUGGACUGUGGAGAGUCUCGAUCACCUCUUCCAAAUGAGUUUGUUCUUCCUCUGUUGGGACUUUUAAUCAGCGCAGUUCGCCGGGCGUAGGGCUGUUUAUCCAGAAAGUGGAACGCCUCCAGGCUUUGCAGACGGCCGUCUCCCGAGGGCAUAUCAUUCCUUACCUCGUCCUCACAAAGGGAAUGGUGGAGAAAGGAAACAAACACGCAGGAGACUUUACCAGGUUCAGGCCCUUAGGUGAAGUGCUUUGUUUGGAAUGGUGCAUUGUAUUUGAUGUAGAUACCAUUUCAUUUAUUUACUGGCUGUUUGUUUGUUGAAGCAUAGUUGCCACGCAAUCUUGUAUUAGUUUCUGUUCUGCAACACGGUGAUUCGCCAAUUCUUUUUUUUUUUUUUUUCAUUUAUUUGAGAGAGAGAGUGAGAGAGAGCAUGAGCAGUGGAGGGGGAAUGGGGUAGGGCAGAGGGAGAAGCAGCCUCCCGGCUGUGCUGGAUCCCAGGACCUGAGCUGAAGGCAAGACGCUUAUCCCACUGCACCCAGACGCCCCACAGUGAUUUGCCAAUUCUCUGUAUUACUUGGUGUCACCACCAUACGUGUAGUCAUGAUCUGUCACCAUACAACUCUGUUACAUUAUUUAUAGAUGCCAUCCUUAAAAGGGAAACUGACACCCAAAAAGACUGAGUAAUUUGCCCAGGGGCUACACUGUGUGAAGUGAUGGGACUUGGAUUUGAAUCCAGCUCUGACUCCAAAUGUUUGCUGGUUGCAGGACACCUGAUCAAUACUCAUUAGCCUCCAAUUAGCCCUGGGGUAGAGACAACAUACAUGUCUUCUGUAAGUUGCUGCCACGGUGAGACUAUCAUACCGUGGCCUGACCAUGGGGACAGGGAUUUUGUUUUGUUGACUGCUGUGUGCCCCACACCAGUAGCAGUCUCUAACACACACUAAGUGCACGGCAAAUACUUGGACUUACCUGUGAUUGAAUGAAUCUUUGUACUGUUAGCAAAGCAUCAAGGACAUAGCCCCGUUCGAUACGUAUUUGUAGAAAUAAACUGUAGUUUGCCAUCCUACA